AUUGUUCCAUUUAAGGCACUAGCUUACUUCCCUACUAUUCACAUGUCCUAACUAAAUGAUAUAGCCCCUUGUGGUGGCACUAUGAUGUAUGUUUUCUUAUGAAUUUUGGGAUGUCCUCCCUCUAAGGACCACAUCCGUAGUAUCACUCCUUAGGACUUACUUUCCUUUAAUGUGAGUGGCUUACUUAUAUCAAUAAAUCAUCUGUGGAACUUAUUUC
rnacentral:lncRNA from 1 species